rnacentral:rRNA from 1 species
GGAUGAACGCUAGCGGCAGGCCUAAUACAUGCAAGUCGGACGGGAUAGGAGAGCUUGCUUUCCUUGAGAGUGGCGCACGGGUGCGUAACACGUAUGUAACCUACCUUCGUCAGGGGGAUAGCCUCUCGAAAGAGAGAUUAAGACCGCGUAACAUUAAGGAGUAGCAUUACGACUUAAUCAAAUAUUUAUAGGACGGAGAUGGGCAUGCGGAACAUUAGCUAGUUGGUAAGGUAACGGCUUACCAAGGCGACGAUGUUUAGGGGAUCUGAGAGGAUGGCCCCCCACACUGGUACUGAGACACGGACCAGACUCCUACGGGAGGCAGCAGUAAGGAAUAUUGGUCAAUGGGCGGAAGCCUGAACCAGCCAUGCCGCGUGCAGGAAGACGGCCCUACGGGUUGUAAACUGCUUUUGCAGGGGAAUAAACCCCCGAAUGUAUUCGGGGCUGAAUGUACCUUGAGAAUAAGGAUCGGCUAACUCCGUGCCAGCAGCCGCGGUAAUACGGAGGAUCCGAGCGUUAUCCGGAUUUAUUGGGUUUAAAGGGUGCGUAGGCGGCCCGGUAAGUCAGGGGUGAAAUACGGCAGCUUAACUGUCGCAGUGCCUUUGAUACUGCCGGGCUUGAAUGUACUUGAGGUAGGCGGAAUGUGACAAGUAGCGGUGAAAUGCAUAGAUAUGUCACAGAACACCAAUUGCGAAGGCAGCUUACUAAAGUAUGAUUGACGCUGAGGCACGAAAGCGUGGGGAUCAAACAGGAUUAGAUACCCUGGUAGUCCACGCCCUAAACGAUGAACACUCGAUGUCGGCGAUAUACGGUCAGCGUCUAAGCGAAAGCGUUAAGUGUUCCACCUGGGGAGUACGCCCGCAAGGGUGA